rnacentral:rRNA from 1 species
CGUUAAGUCGACCGCUGGGGAGUACGGCGCAAGGUUAAAACUCAAAUGAAUUGACGGGGGCCCGCACAAGCGGUGGAGCAUGUGGUUUAAUUCGAUGCAACGCGAAGAACCUUACCUACUCUUGACAUCCAGAGAACUUAGCAGAGAUGCUUUGGUGCCUUCGGGAACUCUGAGACAGGUGCUGCAUGGCUGUCGUCAGCUCGUGUUGUGAAAUGUUGGGUUAAGUCCCGCAACGAGCGCAACCCUUAUCCUUUGUUGCCAGCGGUUAGGCCGGGAACUCAAAGGAGACUGCCAGUGAUAAACUGGAGGAAGGUGGGGAUGACGUCAAGUCAUCAUGGCCCUUACGAGUAGGGCUACACACGUGCUACAAUGGCGCAUACAAAGAGAAGCGACCUCGCGAGAGCAAGCGGACCUCAUAAAGUGCGUCGUAGUCCGGAUUGGAGUCUGCAACUCGACUCCAUGAAGUCGGAAUCGCUAGUAAUCGUAGAUCAGAAUGCUACGGUGAAUACGUUCCCGGGCCUUGUACACACCGCCCGUCACACCAUGGGAGUGGGUUGCAAAAGAAGUAGGUAGCUUAACCUUCGGGAGGGCGCUUACCACUUUGUGAUUCAUGACUGGGGUGAAGUCGUAACAAGGUAACCAAGGGCGAAUUCCAG